GGAAACUUGGAAACUACCGUUGGAUCGAAAAAUGGACGUUCAAAAUUUAUCCACAUCACUAUGAGUAAAAAUUUUACCAAGACUAUGAGUAAAACUUUUACUCUUGGUAAAAUUUUUACUCAUGAGUAAAUCUGCAAGUAAAAUUUUUACUCAUGGCGAUGUGGAUGAAUCUCAGACAUUCAUUUUUCGAUCCAACGGUAGUUUCUAGGUUUCC
rnacentral:pre_miRNA from 1 species